rnacentral:rRNA from 1 species
GACGACGCUGGCGGCGUGCUUAACACAUGCAAGUCGAACGGUGACGAGGAGCUUGCUCCUCCGAUCAGUGGCGAACGGGUGAGUAACACGUGAGUAACCUGCCCCAGACCCUGGGAUAACAGUUGGAAACAGCUGCUAAUACCGGAUACGAGACGGAGAGGCAUCUCUACCGUCUGGAAAGAUUUAUCAGUCUGGGAUGGACUCGCGGCCUAUCAGCUUGUUGGUGAGGUAAAGGCUCACCAAGGCGACGACGGGUAGCCGGCCUGAGAGGGCGACCGGCCACACUGGGACUGAGACACGGCCCAGACUCCUACGGGAGGCAGCAGUGGGGAAUAUUGCACAAUGGGCGAAAGCCUGAUGCAGCGACGCCGCGUGAGGGAUGACGGCCUUCGGGUUGUAAACCUCUUUCAGCAGGGAAGAAGCGAAAGUGACGGUACCUGCAGAAGAAGCACCGGCUAACUACGUG